AUUGACGCGUCCGCUGUGAUUUUCGGCUCUGCAGUAACUAGACAAACGUGUGCAAAGAUGAACGCUAAAUUUGUGUGUCUUGGACUGCUUCUGCUCGGAUUAUGCUUGAUCGCGUCAGCGCAAGUCAGGGGAUCUCGUACAGUUCGUUUGAUGUACGGAGACUAUGAUUGCUCAUGCAGCUACUACUGUCCUAGUUACGGUAUCAAGGGAGGUCACUGCUACGACAACGAUUACUGGGGGUGGGGCAGACACACCCCACAGUACUGCUGUGUGCCCUCAUACAUCGAUUACGACAGCCCAGAUAUGUUUGACAACGGUUUCAGGUCUUUCGGUCGCAGAAAGUGAACAAAACAUAUACAAUUUAGAAGACUUGACACACUCACCAACCAGCAGCCGACGAAUGUAAACUAAAAUUCACAACCAUCAAUAUGAAGAAUUGGACAUAAUGGCCUAUAAUCACUGACUUUGUGAUGUUUAAACAUUUCGAGUAUAUUUUGUUCAUUGUUUUCAUUGUAUGAUAUUUUUUAUGACACAGCGGCACCUUCACACUCUUUCAUCUCAGGUAUCUUCAUGUGCCUUUACAAUAUAAAUGUAUAAUUAUGUACUUAGGCAAAAACAAAUCUUUAUUUUCCUUCAUACUUUAAAAGCACCUUUUCACGUUCUUUUAAAGCUCACUUGGUUUAAUUAGCGACACUGUCGGGCGGCAGGAUGUUCGCUUUUCAUCGCAGACCAGUAGUUCAGCAAUUAACAUGUGUUGUUUUAGCAAUUAUUUAUUGAUUUAUUGUUGUUGUCAUAAUAAUUAACAUUAUAAUUGUUAACUUAAUAAUUAAAAAAAAAGACUGUUGAAUGUAAUCAUGUUUUAAUAAACGUAUUUAUUACAUUGA
rnacentral:lncRNA from 1 species